GUGGGGGUCCCGGGUCUCUCGGCUGUGGACGUGAGGCGGCCGCGAUCGCCUGGCCGGGUCCGAGCUUUGGGAGCGAGUUCCCGGCGCCCUCCUGCGUGACCUCCCAACUCUCGGAGUGCACGAAGGGGGUGGUACCUAGAAGUUAGGGCGGGGUCGCCGGAGUGCAAGGGUGGGACGGUAAGUUCUUCUAGAAGGAAGCUACACUCACUCUCUCUCCACCCCCCCCCCCCACCUUCGGAAAAGAAGAUCUUGAAGGACUUGGUAUGGGCUGCUGGGAGGUUUGUCCGGCCUUAGGGUCUUGGCUGCUUGCUGUCUGGCGGCUGAACAUGAAAGCGCUCAGGGCCUGGUGCUUGCAUACUGUUUUCACUUGCUCUCCAUAGGGGGCUGGGAGAGAGCCAGAGGGGGCGCCGUCGUUUCUCUCCAUUCUACAGAUUUGAAAGCUGAGGCUCUGCAAGAUUAAAGGGAAUUAUCCAGAUCCACACGGAGGAGGAGCGUGGAGCCUCAGACUUGCUAUGUGGCAGAGGAUGACCUUGAACUUCUGACUCUUCUGUCUGUACCUCUCAAGUGCUGGGAUUAUGGUUGUGAGUUUUUGUACUGAUGGGGAGUCGAACUAGGGCCUUGUGUUUGCUUGGAUCUGACUAGCAGAAGAGACAGUUCGUUUCCAAACCAGCCGCUUCUGGGUGACUGACCAUGCUUCUGCCGGAUGUAGUGACACACGCCUUUAAUCCCAGCAGAGCCAGGCGGAUCUCUGUCAAGUCGAGGCCAGCCUGGUCUACGGAGCGAGAUCCAGGACAGCCAGGGCUACAUAAUUCUGAAGUGUCGGCAUUGAUCGCCAUUGCCUAAUUGGGUCUUGAUGAUGGAUCGUUUCAUCCGUGAACACCCCCAGUAUGACAGUGUGAGCAUCACUUCCCUUGAAGCAAAGAGGACUGGGGAACAAAGAGUUGAAGAGAUUUCUCCACACUCACAGCCAAUUUGAAGAGUUUAACUGGAAAUUCUUCUGUUUAACCAAAGUAGCCAGCAUCCCUGGUGAAGAUGUGUAAAUUUAACCUUUUAGUCUCUUCUUCGUUACUUUCCUUCAGUUCGUAAAGAAACAUCCCUCUACCCCGAGAGCAGAAAUCACCAUGAACAGAAAUAUUCAAUGUCUGGGAUAUUUAAGAAAACAAACGGGAUGUUGAAGCGUAGGAAAAGAAGAAAAAAGAGAGUUUAGAAGAUAGAUAGCAGAGUGAUAAAAUGUGUGUGAGCCAGUUCUCAGGUUACUAUGGCAAGAUCAGUUUCCCUGGCCUCUGCUAGCUCUCUCCCUACCUAAGGACUAUAUUGUAAUUGAAUGAUCAGGUCAUACUCAGUUGUAGUGUUUAAGCCAAGGUUUGAUCUCACAGUCACAGGAGCAUGGCCUUCCACGGAGAGGGUCCCGGAGUGAAGCAGUGAAAUACAUCCCUAGAUACUGGCAACUUUAGUUUUUGUGAUAACACAUAGAAUAUAUAAAUUAAUCCAUGCCAUUUGUCCCCCGGCCCAGAAAGCAACUGGGUUUUUCUGGCUGCUGGGGUAUUUCAUAGCUUGCUAACAAAGCUGAUGUGGAAACCAAUAGAAAUACGUUUUUAUUGCAAAAAAUUAAUUUUGUUCUAAGUAAUUUUUUUCACUAUCUAGGUUGCUAGAUGCUUCGGGUCUGCCUUCAGGGCUAGGAAAUGCGCUGUUUUGUUCUAAAUCUCUUCUCUGUCUUUGUAAAGCAGCUGGUGUUGACUUCGAGAGUUGCAUGAAGAUUAAAAAUGACUUACUAGGCAGUGAGAUUGCUCAGGGGGUGAAGACGCUCGGUGCUAACCCUGAUGACCCGAGUUCAAUCUCCACGGCCCAUGGGACAGAAGGAGCGAACCGACUCCUGCAAGUUGUCCUCACACACUAAAAUAAAUAAAUUAAAAAAAAAAAAGAAUGAGUUACUGUUUCUUGCCACUGAGACUUCUGGGGGUUUCUCCUGACCAUUGUGACAUCAAAGGUGACUGUUGACAAGGUCUUAGCUGCUUUGUUUUCUUAGGCACUUUACGAGCUUCCUAGGGCUGCUGGAGCAAAGUACAACAGACAGUGUCUUGAACAAGAUUUAUUUUCUUAGGGUUCUCGGGGUUAGAAGUCCAAAACCCAGGCUGCAUGCCAUAUUGGGUACAUGUAGCCCAGACACCCAAGAAGGCUGAGGCAGGGUCACUAGAGACCAAGAGAUCAAGGCCAGUCUGGCGAGCACAGCAAGACCCUAUCUGUAUUAUUGACUUUUCUUCUUGUUCUGAACACAGUACUUGAUCAAAACACUUUAAAAAGGAGGAAGAACGUAUCUGGUUCACAGUCUUAGAGGGUUUGGUUCGUGAUUGCUUGAUCCUGUGUGCUUGGGCAGAGCGGCAUGGCUCCAGCAACAGAUGGAGAGCAUGUGUGAGAAGAGAGCUGUAGCUUCAUGCUGGACAGGGAGCAGAGAUCGAUACCGGAAGACCCAAGAGCAAAAAAAGACACCCUCCCUCCCCCGAGAACGUUGACAGACUUCACGCAACCGGCUCCACCUCCCAUCCUCUGACUCCUUUCAAUAAUGCCAUUAUAUCAAGAACCCAGCAAAGAAUCAGCCCACUCUUCAGGUCGGCACCCUUAUUAUCCAGUCUUCUCGGGGAAACCCACUGCAGACCCAGCCAGAGGCGCGCUUGACACGUUUCUCAGUCUAGUCAAGUUGGCAAGAGGACCCAAACAAACAGCAUCAGCAGGACUGGUUUCUUUCUCUCCCUACCUUCUGCUGCCUGGAUGCUGGCAAUCUCCAGGGUCCCUACCCUGGUCCCGGCCUUUACCUUCACUCGGCAUUUCACACUGUAUUUGUCUUUGUGUCCAAGUUUCUUUGAAAUUGUUUGGUUUAUAGUACUUUCUUACUGGAGUCUUGGUAAAUUAAUACAUGUACCAUAGACUA